UUAUGACAGUAUUAAAGUAUAAUAUAAAGGUUUGUCAUCACAAUUUGACGCAGUAUUCGAAAAAUACAUUGAGCUAAGUUUCUGAAGCGAAAUUGAAUCUGAAUAUAGAGUAGGUAUCGCUAGUAUAAUUAAGGUAUCAGUACAACGGAGCGAGGGAUAUAUGCAUGGCCUGUAUAAUAUGCAUUCCCGGUACUAUCAUCUGUAUAAAUGUAAAUAUCGACCGAAGCCAGCAAAUCAUUAAUAUGCAGUUAUAGUGUUGCCACAGCCUUGCGAGACACCAGCAUUGAUGUCCAUGCUGUCGGAGUUGACGGUUGUUGCUCCGACUACGAUUUUAAUGCAUCUGCCGGACAGAAAACAGGGUGUUCGAGGGUGGUCUUCCAGUUGGACGGAAAUCAUCCUGUGGAGUAUGAUAGUGCAAAGGAUAUCAAUAAUAUGAAUCCGAAUCCGAGUGACCGAGUAAAAGAAUUCGAGUGAAUUAAUAGAAAGUUCUCGUUAUCUAAGCAAAAAUGAACUGAAGCAAUCACAUUUAGUGCGAAGAGAUUUCCUUUUACCAAGUAAGUACGAGUGGUCCGAUUCAAUUUGUCAAACGUUCUCAAAGGAGGCAUUGUGUCUGCCAUGGGGCCAUUUUAAGGGAUUACUGAUCAACUUCUUAUUCUGUAAUGAACUGUAAAUACUACCUGUAUUUACAAUUGAAAAAAAAAAUACUAAUUAUUUUAGUAAUUUAUCAUUUAUUGAACUUCAACAAGUACCUAAAAUGAGUUUUAAAAUUACAAUUGUCAUAUAGUUGUAAUAGCCUGUACAUGGAGUUUUUGAAGUAGACACAAAUUAGUCUUGUAUUUUUUACUCUAUGGGGGCAAUGGGUUACAGGGAGUACGAGUAUAAUUUUAGUGAUUACCAUGAAUCGCUUUUAUUCAGAUUUAUUGUUAAUCAACACGAGAAGAAAAUUUUCAGUUGCAUGCAUUGAACGGAUAAUUAUUACCUUCUUGUUCGGAAGUCGCUUAGACAGAAUCUACAAAAAAUAACUUGUGUUUGUUCAGGUAUGACGUUAUUAAAGCCAUUGAACUCAUUACACGGUCAUCUUGUUAUGAAUUAGGUAUUAUUUUCCAUUAUAGUGAAAUAGAAUAUGAUAGAUAGUCUGAAUAAAGUAACCAAGUGUAGAUGAAAAUGGAAUGAUAACCUCGUCUACGCUUAUAGGCUACGCGCGUUGGCGGAGUAUGAAUGAAAGAUGGACGAAGUUGAAGUCGGGUAAGUCGCUUCAUUGUGAUUAAUUCACAAGGAAUUCAUAAAGGGUUAACUAAGAUAAUUUUCAGGGAAAAUGCGUGGAGGUCAAUCUGAACGGGGUAUAUUAUGCUAGCAAUUGGGCUGCUAGUCCUCAUUACUAAAUAUCUUCUGCCUCCUGCAAGUACAGAAUAGGUAUCUAACCACUAUAUGUAUAAUAAUUACCAAUUAAACUUUUCCUUUGUAUUUUAAAAUAAAGAACUUGGAUGGUUUUAAUAUUCUGAUUUAUAACACUUGCCUAUUAAAUCCUUGCAAUGAUUAGGCUGGUGAUACAAGUAUAACAGGGGAAAAAUCUACUAAAUCAUUACUAUUACGCUUGGAACAAAGUAUUCUCAAUGUUAGUACUAUAACAUAUUCCAAUAGGUAAUAAAUAUAUUUAUAUAUUUUUUACUGUAAUAAUUUUGCUUCCAAAUAGUAUAAUGUGUAAUAAUAAUUUUUUGCAUAAUUAUACAUUAAUCAGCUACCUACUACGUAAAAGAUAUUUAUAAAUAAAGCACAUAAAUAAUGGUAAUGAAAUGGUGUUAUGUAAUAUCUGUUAUAAUUCAUACACGUACGAAUAUUAAUGUUCGGUCUCAUAAAAUGAGUAAGUAAUGUAUCUUAUUCAAAGAAAAGAGAUAAUUCAAU
rnacentral:lncRNA from 1 species